GUUAUUUUGUAAGACGAGCUCUCAAGCAUCAGAAGUGGAGAGUACCAAAAGGGAAGGUUCUGCUUAUAUUAUGCCCUGUACAUGGGGCAAUCAACCUGAAGACACAUUGGCACUUGUGCUUAACUUCCCAACAACCAGCACAAACUGAUGCCUUGGGCCACGUGUCCUUUUCUUGAAUCUCCUUACGUGACUUCGUGCCAAAGUUUGUCUCAUACUACACCAGUGAAGGGUCUUGCGACUGUUUAUUACUUUAAAGUAAUACGUACUCUAUUAUUUUGUUUUUAACUAUGAAUUCAAUUCUCAAGCUGCC